rnacentral:siRNA from 1 species
AGACUUGCCCUCCAAUGGAUCCU